rfam:Desulfopila aestuarii DSM 18488 genome assembly, contig: EJ45DRAFT_scaffold00044.44
GUUGGUGUGAUAGCAACUUAGCGCACUGGACUCAAAAUCCAGCGGACGCAAGUCCAUGUCGGUUCGAUUCCGACCUCCGGCA